rnacentral:SRP_RNA from 1 species
GCCAGGCAUGGUGGCACAUGCCUGUAAUCCCAGCUACUCAGGAGGCUGAGGCAGGAGAAUCACUUGAACCCAGGAGGUGGAGGUUGCAGUGAACUGAGAUCAUGCCAUUGCACUCCAGCCUGGGUGACAGAGUGAGACUCUGUCUCAA